rnacentral:lncRNA from 1 species
UGAGGCUUCUAUCGUCAAAGCUUCUUUUUCUGUUCCAAUUUAACUCUUUUUGUUCAAUACUCGAAACCCAUUUGCUAGAAUUUGAAGAUAAUUGUUGAGAAAUUAGUUAAUUUUGCUUGCUAUGGAAGCGAUACCGCACCCUAUACCUAGAACUGUAGAGGAGGUUUUCAGCGAUUUUAAGGGCAGACGGGCUGGCUUGAUUAAGGCUUUAACAGCUGGUAAUGGCUUAAUAUUUUCUUCUCUUUUUAUUUGAACUAAAUUAAUGGGUUUGUUCUAUUUGAGCUUAUGAUUAUUUUUUUCUUGUUAAUUUUAAUUUUAAUUUUCUGGGUUGUUGCAGAUGUUGAGAAGUUCUACCAGCAGUGCGAUCCUGGUGGGUUUUUCUUUUCCAUACCUAUUUUUUGUUUAUUUAAUUGUAAUUGGACUUUUUUUUCCUUCUUUUUUUUUCUAUAUUUUUGUAUUAUAUUGACUGAAUGACUAGGUAUUUAAUAAUCAGUACGUGUUAUUUAUAGCUCUGUUUCAUGUAUAAGAGAGGCAAAUUAUGUUAUAGAAACCAACUCGUUUAUUCAUUUAUUUUUUUCAGUUGGAAGAAUUUUAAUGGAGACAAUGUCUGUGAUAUGAAUUAACUAAGUUCAUGCUUGUCUUGAGUGUUUUGAGAUUGUACAAAGUCCAUGAUUUGUCUUUAAUUAAAGAUGAAAUGCUUGUUUUAAGGUAGUUUUGCUUGUCAUAGCACUCGGAGGCUUACAUUUUUUUUUUUUGAUCACUUACACGGUUAGUUUCUGUUUUAUUCAUAAAUUUCUGUGCUUCCUCACUUGCGUCGUCAUUAACUCCUUCCAUGAUGUUUUCUUCUGUAAACGCACUUAUGUUUGCCUUUCACUAGUUUGAAGGACAUUUUUCAUUGAAAGAUCCAAAUGAAUUGAAAUUGCUGCUAUAAUGUAUUUGCUUUGCUGCUGAAGCAGGUCUGUGUAAAUAAACUAGAAAAGUCUUAAAGUGUUGUUGUACCCAUAUACUUCAGUCCAGCUGGCUUCCUAGCUGCAGAAAAUCUCAAGCUUUUUCAUUCUUGACUGUCAGGUUCUUGUGUUUAUUAUAUUGGUUGGAAGCAGAUGGUUAGUUCAGUGUGAAUUCUUGGCAUUUGGUUAUGUGGAAGUUCUGGACAUUUGUUGAUGAUUUAUUUGUUUGCAUGAUCGAUUUUCAAAAUAAUUCAUUUGGCUGCAUAAUUGUUGAAAAAUCCAAAAUUCUAGUGGUAUUUAUUUAUUUAUUUUUGGAUUGAUGCAGCUAUGUUUGUUGGAAGUGUGUUGUUAUCUUCUGUUGAGUCCUUGGCAUUAAUGUUUUAUGUAGUCAUCCAUAUUUUUUUCUUGAGUUAUGUGGUAUCUGUUAUCAUAUUAAUUUUGAUUGUCUUUUUCUCAAGUCAUUUUGUAUAAAUUUUAUUGUUUCUUUUAGUAGGCAUCGAUAUUUUCACUUUAGCCUUCCUACUUUCAUAUAUCUGCUGGAGUGGAAAGAUUGAAAGAUUAGUUUGGUUCACUUUUACAAUGAGCCACAUGUUAUUACAACACUGCAUCAUUUCAACCAAAUAGGGAAACUGCGACACAAGAAGAAUGCCCAUUGGAAAAUAGGGAUCGUGCAGCUGCCUGAUAGCAGAAAAUUCCUGAAUUCUUGGUGAUAGUGAUUAUUUAUGUUGGACUCCUGCUCUUAUGUCUGUGGAUCCGCCCAGUAUUUUCAGUUUGAUCCUUCAAUCUAAUUUCCUUAUGGUUGUAUGUUUAUUGACUUAUAUUCUGUCAUGGUAUUAUGGUUUGAUAUCCUUUUCUUAUCAGGCGAGUUGGCUAACAUGAAGUUCACUUUACUAUUUUCGUCAAUGUUUAUUGGAGUGCAAAGCUUCACCAUAUAGUGUGGUUUGUGACUGUUGUGUUGUCUAAUGUGUUGCCUUAUCUUCUUAUUGACUUGUUUGUAAAAAAUUAGAACUCUAAUUCUAAUUGUCAUUAUGUUUGGCUGCUAUACUCUAUGUCCAUGGUCAAAUGUCGUCCCUUUUUUGUUUGUUUUUAUGGUUUAUGUCCAAAUGUUGCUAGAGCAGUUGAUGUCAAUAAAAGAGUAUCUUCCUGGACUAACAGUCUCCUUCUGCAUUCUUAAUGUUUUAUGAAACCAAGUACUUUUUUGUGCUUUUAGUUAUUGGUAUGAUAAAAUGAGAUCUGAUUAUAUGAACAAUUCAAGGCAGAUUGCACAUUUUUAUUUAAAAUACUAGUAUUGUGCAUACAGAAAAAGAGAACUUGAGCCUAUUUGGGCUUCCUAAUGAGACAUGGGAAGUUAAUCUGCCUGUUGAGGAAGUGCCUCCCGAGCUCCCUGAGCCAGUGUUAGGUAUAAACUUUGCUAGAGAUGGAAUGCAGGAGAAGGACUGGUUAUCACUGGUUGCAGUGCACAGUGAUUCAUGGUUGCUUGCUGUAGCUUUUUAUUUUGGUGCACGCUUUGGAUUUGGCAAAAAUGAAAGGUAUUUUCUCUUUCAUGCCCAUUUACCUGCAUUUGCUGUAAUCUCCAGAGCCUUAGCAUUAGUAUCUGCUUUUUGGUAUCAAAUUGUUAGUUCUUAGUCCUGUCUCAUAGUUCUGCCACUGCUUUUCAACAUUACAAGAUGAUAAAGGGGAUAUGCAUAGAUAUAUCAUUAAAUUUUAUGGUUGAGAUUGUUUCAAUUGAAAGAUCAAGGCAGUAAGUCCAGGGGAGAGUAACAAUAUAUGUUUGAUUAUUUCACUUAUUUUUGUAAGAAUAUACGUUUGAUCAUUCCACAUAUUUAUCUUUUAUAAUGCUAAUUGGUGAUGAUUUGUCUUCUCUCAUAUUUGUAUUUAUAACUAUUUAUUGGUAACUUGAUCUACCAAUAUUAAGUUUAACAAGUCCAAUAAUGUUGUCUUGACAAUAAUUUAUGAUUGGUUAUUCUGUGGUCAACAAUUUAAGGUCAAGGCUUUUGUUUUAUACAUUCUGGACCAUUUUUUGCUGCUAGAGCUCGUCUGUCGUCUUGUAAAAUUCGGUUUGAACCACCUUGGUUACUAUGUUUCAUUCAUCUCAUUCAUGCUACAAAGUCAUAUGAUCAACUGUAUGACAUAUGAUGUUUGACAGCCUAUGCAUUCAAGUUGUCAUUAACGAAAGGAAGUUUAUGGUCUCCGACAAAGUCUUGACUCAUUCAGCCGGUUGACACUGCUCAAUGGAAUGUUAAUAAUCUAAUUGGGUAUCAUAGAUUUCUUGAACAAAAGACAUAGUAGGAGUAACUGAACAAUAUACUAUGGAACUAUUGUUGAAGUUAUACAUGAUAUGGAAAACCUGCGAUGCUAUGCUUGACCAGGAAGUUUAAUAAAGUCAAGAUGAAUGUCUGGUUCUAAUUUUUCUUGGAAUUGGAUCUUGCAGGAAGAAACUUUUCCAGAUGAUAAAUGAUCUCCCGACCAUCUUUGAAGUUGUAACAGGAAAUGCUAAGCAACCAAAGGACCCUUAUUUGUUGAAUCCAUUCUCCGGUUCCCGGAUUCUGCGGAACUUUUCCGGACGUUGUGGGUCGUCAUGGCGGUGGCUACAACGUAAUUUGAAGUUGAUCACGAAGAUAUAAAUGGCUGUAGCACCGACGCGUUUCACGACAAUCAAGGAAAUCAAAGAUUGUUUCUUCCAUAAGUCCAUUCUGUCGGGGAGUCCCUACUUUCAGGAUAAUGACAAUGUAGCUGUAGCCAUCUACAAUGAUAGAUCAAAGUGGUUCAAUAUUUCAAGGCCAAGAACAUUAUUGUUACUGGUAUGGCGAUGUUAUUUGAGUAUCUCAAAAUGGUGCUAGUACUGUUUAUGCAUUAUCACUAAGUCCCGGUACAGGAUGGUCCAUUCGAAGCAUGGGAUUUCAAGAAAUUACAGAAUGAUUAUAAUGCUCCUCCUGUAAAAAUAAUGGGUUUGAAUUUGAAGCCAUCAUUUCCAAACUCAUGGGAUGUAGAUACCAAGCCAUGUCAUGUGGCUGUAAACUCAUACUUGGUAGAAUCUAAGUCGUAGGAUAUUUUGUUUCUUUUUAUUUUGUUUAUAGCCUCAAAUUCCCUUAUUUGUUUACGAUGAAUCAAAUUUUUGAAAUAUAAAAUUUAGAUAAAAUAAUUAAAUAAAAAAUAAUUUAAUUUAUAUAAUAAAAAAUAAAAUUUAAUUAAAUCAUAUUUUCGUUUUUUUUUUCUAGGAAAAAAAGUGUACAAAUGUAUGUGAGCAUAUAUUAUUGAUAAGUAACACUAUCCAUCAAAAAAUUUAUCCAAAACUUUUCAUCCAAAGCAUUGUAAAAGACGGCAUUGGUGUAGAGUGUGUAAAAAAUCAACUUAAAACUUUGAGAAAAAUUUUUAUAUACAUCACAUCACAUAAUCUUCUCAUUUUUGCUACAAUUUUUGCAAUGAUUUUUGGAAUAAGUGCACUGUUCUUAUCACCCAAAUAUACAGUAAGAACACUUCAAUGUAUUAGUUUCAAUUUAAUUUAAGCUCAGUUAUUGAAUUGCUCAUUCAAUAAGAAUUCUUCAUGUUAUAUGCUUAAUUUGAAGACUCGAAUCUUCACUAUCUUUAUCACAAAAUUUUUUAGUCUCACAUGCAUACUACAUAAUUUCACUACCUAAGUAUCUUAAAAGUAAAUCGGAUUCAUGAUUUAAUUCAUGAUUUAAUAUCUAUAUAAUAUGAUGCAUGAUAAAUGAACUACUUUUUCAAAGUCCCAUAUAAAAAUUGUUAAUGGUGAUCUCAAUUUCUAAAUUAGCAAUCAUUGAAUUUUAAUUUUCUCUUACAUUUUCUUUUAAUGUAUUUUUAUUUUGUCAGUUGAUGGUAGGGAUGAGAAUGGGGAGGCGAGUGAUCGACAUCCUAGUAUCCAUCCACAAUGUUCUGCUUAAGUAUGUGUACUUCCUCAUAUCCCCGUUAUAAAAAUGUAAAUAUAUGAGGGGAGGGAAUAACAUUUCCGUCAAACUCAAUUAAUAUCAUUGAUAUUAUAGCAUAAUCCAUAAGUGAUUUGUCCACAACACACGAAUAUUAAAAUAAACGACUGCGAAUUAAAAUAUUUCGUCAAAUUAAGUUAAUAGUAUCAAUAUUACAACGUAAUUAAUAUGUGAUUCGUCCACUACAAAAAAAAAAGUGGUAUUUGUCUAUAUAACAGAAGCAAUGACAAAUUUUAUUCUUGUCUUUACAUUAUUUUUAUAAAUAUUACGAUUUUUUUUGUUUACAAACAUAUUAAUACAUUUUAAAUGUAUUUUAUUGAAGUUAUGGAAAAAUAUAAUAAAAGUUAAAAGGAUUUGGAUCCUCUCUUUUUAAUCUUAUUUUUUCUAAGAUUAAUUUUGUAGGAGAUUAUAAUAUUUGUCAAUUACGUAGAAAAUUUUCCAUUUUAAACGCCAAAUCACAUCGUUUAGUAACUAAUAACUAUAAUCCUAAAACUAAUGGGAGUUUAAUUUUAACGUUCGACUUCUUUUUUUCCCCCAUUUUCUUUACACGUUUUGUAGCCUCUUUCAUCUCUCACUGCUUCUUCAAAACCAGAAACUUAAUUUGGUAAUGAAGAAUUCCACCAAUUAAAAAAAAAAAGGCAGGUUAAUUUUAUUUUCUUUUUUUAAAAUUUGGAGCUCUCUCGUUUCUCAUCACAGUUCUCUUCUGUUGGAGAAUUUAUGAACCGUAGGAUUUCAACAAAUGAAAGAAAACAGAAAAAAUGGAGGAGAAAGUAAUCAAAGAUAACUAUAAUUGAAAUAAACAAGAGCAAACUUCUAUUUAUAUUGAACUUAUAUAUAUAUAUAUAUAUAUAUAACCAUAUUCCAAUGAGAAUUUUAUAUUUUGAAAAUUGAUUUAAUUUUGAUAUUUCUUUCAAAAUUGUUUAAUUGUGAUCAUUGUACUAAAAUCAAAUGCAAAAUAAGAAAAGAGUGGUUUAAAUAAUAAUGGCACGGGAGUGUCUGCAUGUGUGAAGAAGAAACAGGAGAUAAGAUGAUGGGUAAGGAAAAGAGAAGAGAUGACAUACUUUAGGGUUAACAUCUGAUAGUUGCUAAUUAUUCUAUUUUAGUUAUUCAUUAAAUCGAUAUGGCGUUUAAGAAGAAAAAAUUAAAAGUAAAUUAAAUCUUACCCCUAGGUACACUUAAAUGGCAAGUGUCAUAAUCUCCCAUGAACCUUGGGAAAAAUUAGAUUAGAAAUAAAAGUAAAAAACAAUCAAAAUGGAGAGGAGAUAAAGAUUUCACCUAUUCCCAUCAUUUCUUCGAAUGAAAAAAUAAAGGGUUAUUAUCAUUUUACUACUUCAAAAAUUAAAAAAUAUCAAAUAACCACAAGAAAUUUGUCCCCUAUCAUUUUUCUACUAUAUCUUUACAAAAAUAUUAUUUUACUACUUUUCCGUUAUAACCGUUAGUUGACCAGUUAGUUGACUAACAAAAUAUUAAUUUUACCCUUCAUGAUUAAAAAAAAUACUUGAAGCUUAUUUACAAAAUCAACUCUUCCACAUUUAUUCGAUCAUCCAAGUUUCAUUUCCAACAUUAGGAUAUAAAAAUAGAAUCAUUAAUAAGAAAAAUUUGUAAUCUAUUUAUAAAAAUGGAUACAAAAUACCAACAUAAUUCUUUUUACUAGAAUUAUAAUAUAUGGAUUAUAAAUUUAUCUUAUUAAUGAUUCCAUUUUUAUAUUAAUGUUGGAAAUAAAACUUGGAUGAUCAAAUUAAUGUGGAAGAGGUGAUUUUGUAAAAAAGCUUCAAGUUUAUUUUUUUUAAUAAUGAAGGGUAAAAUUAGUAUUUUGUUAGUCAACUAAUUGGUCAACUAAUGGAAAAGUAGUAAAAUGAUAUUUUGUAAACAUAUAGUAGGAAAAUGAUAGGGAAUAAUACUUCUUAUAAUCAUUUGAUAUUUUUUAAAUUUUUAAGUAGUGAAAUGAUAAUAGCCCAAAAAUAAAUAUUAAAUUAUCAUUAUCCCCUUAUUGAAUAAAAAAAAUUAGAUAUCAAAUUAUACCCAUCUACUCCCCAAAUGGCAAUAAUCCUCCAAAGACCCCAUCCCCUUACUAAUUUUUCACAUCCCUAAUUCGUGGUUUGCCACAUGAUAUAUGUAUCCUUGAUAAAAAUAAAUAAAUAGAUGACAUGCCAGUCAUGUCGUCCGGCUGUAUUAGGUAAGUUUGUUGGUGGCAAGCACAUGCACGAAUUAAAUGGUUAGCUCAAAACAGUAUACUCAAGUAUGUAAUUGAAACACAUAACAUGAUUUUCUUCAUAGACUUCAUUAUUUCAAAAUUUACCUUGCCAUAAUAUUUUGGGUUCCAUUAAUUUGAAUGACUGCGUGAUUAUAAAAAUAAAUAUUAUCUUUAUAUAUAUUAUUAUGAUUUAAUGAUUAACAUAUGUAUUCAACUAAAAGUGUUGGUCCAAAUUUAACUACGGCCUAAUAUUUUAUAUAUCCUACAUUCAAGUUACAAGUUUUCCUUCUACACUCGGGGGCUGAAAAUUUUAAGUUUUCGAUCAUUGCUUAAAUGGUAAAAACCUAAAAGGGUAACACUGUCCAAAAUCUUUGUUUACAGUUUCCUCCAAUGGUAGGCAUUUAUAUUGGUCAUAAUUUUGAUGUUUUGUGAAGAAAGAAUAAUAAGCUCCAAAAUGUAACACAGACUUCAAUACAAGCCCCCUUUGUAUUCAAUUUAAAAAAACAAUUAUAAUUACCCUAUAGCCCCGAAGUGGGUCCCUUUAAAUGGACAAAUAAGAAAUAACAUAACAUAAACCCUUAAUAAAAACCUUUUAAAAAAAAUUAACAAAUAAUAAUAUUAUUAUUAUUAUUGUUAUAACUUUGGCAAUUUUCCCCAACUCGCUAUCUUUAUAUGCACACAAAUCUCUAACCCAAAUUCAAACCCAAAAUUGUCUCUUGCCUCUCUCUUUCUCUUUCUCUUUCUCUUUCCUUUUUCUCUUCUGGGUCUCUUCUGUUUUCUGUUGUCUAAUUACAAAUUCAAUUCAAUUAAUUCAAACAGAUAAUGAAAAGCAAAACACGUUAAAAAAGAAGCCCUUUUUUCCCCCCAAAUCGGAAAACGGACGAAAACCCUAACUGAGGCUUCUAUCGUCAAAGCUUCUUUUUCUGUUCCAAUUUAACUCUUUUUGUUCAAUACUCGAAACCCAUUUGCUAGAAUUUGAAGAUAAUUGUUGAGAAAUUAGUUAAUUUUGCUUGCUAUGGAAGCGAUACCGCACCCUAUACCUAGAACUGUAGAGGAGGUUUUCAGCGAUUUUAAGGGCAGACGGGCUGGCUUGAUUAAGGCUUUAACAGCUGGU